rnacentral:lncRNA from 1 species
UACGACACUGCUUAGCAUAGAACAACUCAGCUCUUUAUUACAAUCUAUACUGGGUACAAGGGGUUACAUCGGCACGGCGACACUACGCAUGCCACGGUUGCUCUACGCAAGCAGCAGAACAACUCGACGCAGCGGAAUGAAUACUGGCAGCGGAACAACGACGGUGGUGAACUCAACUCCGCAGGGACACUGGCUGGAACGCUUAUCCUAGGUCGCAAACAAGGAAUCCACGGCAAACAAGCAAUCAUAUCCAGCAUGACCUGCAAACUGGCAUGACACGCCAGGUCAGUACAUUGAAUGUACUUGCAAGCUCAUAGCAACCAAAGCAAUCAAGACAAACAAUAGCAUGGCAAUUACAAAUUAUUAAGCAAUGAUGAACAUGAUACUAUCAGAACAACAUAGCAUGUACAACAUGAUACAGCUAGAACAAUACGAGCAUGGCAUAAACAUAUGAACAUGAUGAGACUAGCAUGUAACAAGAUGAAACUAUCAUGCACCAACUUACUCUGCUCGGGUUACAUCGUAACCAUCACAUGCAUCACUUACCAUCACGGACAUCACACGAUCAUCUCAGGAUCCAAUCAAGCUUGGUAUUAACAAUACCGUAGUAAUCAUUUAUGACCACAAGGAGCUUGACCUUUACCCUUGACUCUCGCAUAACAUCACAAAUAUCCAUCAACUCGGUAUCCACGAUACCACAGUGAUCCUCUCGCGAUCACAUAAAUAUCAACCAACUUCUUUCAUCAUCGAACCGGGGUUGUUAUUAAGCAAAUUAUAAUUAUUACUGUUGACCCAUAGUGUGACCAACUACGAACUGGGCCCAUAUCCGCGGGCGCGGCUAUGGAUAGAUUUAGCGCACACACCCUGCAGAGGUUAGCACACUGUACCCACACCAUGGAACCCGUGGCCUCGCACUCCCAUCCGGGUGGACCAACGGCGUUCCGAUAAAACCGCCCUACUACCAUGACACUCUCCCGGCCACUCCGACCAACUCCCCUUUGGGCUAAGUCCUGGGUGGCCCCGUGCCUACCAAAGGCACCAACGGCCACCGUUGUGGCAAAACGGUCCCAAACGGGGACAAGGAUCCUUACAAAAACAACGGGCACACAAGGCUUAUGCCGUCGUACCCGUCCAAGGUAGCACCCGCGCAUAACCUUCCCUCGCAGGAGGCACCGGCGAGAGGCAUGACAAUAGACCCAACUAGGACCCCCCAUGAGGUAAGCGUGGUUGCACUGGUCAGCCCGAUAUGGUGGCACCAUGACUCAGCCAACAGUUGUUCAAGUUCAAUUUGAUCCGGUUAAUCUUGAAUGCAAUAUGCUGAGUCAUGAUAAAAAUGAUAUGAUGCAACUAUAAUGCAUGAACAUGAUAUUAACAUAAGCAUGGGGGUGCAUCCCAAUCAACGAGCAUAACAACAUUUAACCAUUUAUCCAGAUGAGCAUGGCAUACUGGCGAGCAUCGAUAUCACAACUAGAAUACUACUCAUAGCAUAAAAUGACCACUAGCAUCAACAAUAAAUACCAUGCAAUAACAUAACGAUAAAACUACCAUGCAAGCAUUUAACCAACUGGGUGCAAAAGAACAUGUAUAACAACGGUACUCGGAACAGACAAUAGUCAUGCACCGAAGACCAUCACCAACAUGUACUACUACCAAGCAUGCCAAAUAUUAAAGUAGUACUAGCAUGAAGAACAUAAUAACAGCGUGCAUGAAAACAUAGCAUGACGGUAAACACCGAUCCAUAAGCAUAAUCGAAAUAACGACAACAGUAGCAAAACGAACAGACAGUUAUUAAAGAUUCAAGUUGAAAACCAAUGCUACUGCAUGCUAUCAUGCAAAUGGUGGUUGUGGCUUGCCUGGGGAUGAAGAAGGCUCCGGGGAGGUGUGCGGUGAAGCCGCGGAAAGAAUCGCUGGAAAGGGUUCUCUCUCGGAGGGGGCUGAUUAGGGGCAAGGGCAAAAUGGUCAUUUCCAGUAUGUCAAACCAUACUGAAAAUGGUACCAACAUAAUGGGCUCGAUGAGACAAAGAAGUAGGCUUUGGAUUCACCUCAAUCGGAGUUACGAGUGACAAGUUGUGGCCAUUCACUUUUUAGAUAGACAAGUGCUAAAACAGUGAACGUUCACAAAAUAACCACUUCAGCCGGCUGAGCUGAAAAAGAGAAAACGCAUUUUGAGAAAUACGUUUCUGUUGAAGUGAAGGCGUAUUCUGAGCAGAAGACAAACCAAAGUACGCUUUCAUUCACAGAAAACGUAAUCUAGCAGCUACGCCUCCACUUAACGACGUGGCAGUGGCGGGGCCGCGGCUUGUCUCACUGACGUGCGGGUCCCAUGGGGUGGGGCCCGUCACUUAUCCAUGCUGGCUAUCCGGGUCAAUGCACGCAGAGGCGGGGCCAGGCCGGCAUGCCUGCCAGUUGUGGUCGGGAAAGGAGGGGGCCCGCCUGGCCGGGGUCAACGCCUUCUUCCUCCCGCUCGCGCCCGAUGCAGGGGAGGAACGGCGCGCUCCGGCGAGGCUCCUGGGCAGCUCCGGCCACCGUUCAGAGCACCCAGACCACCCACGCAUAGAGGAGACCGAGGCGAACCCGUCCCCGAAGGGGACGAACAUCGAGGAGGGCGAGAAGGAGCAGGGCACCAGAAGCAGCGAAGGAGGGCUUCGGGUGGAGCUGGGCUCGCGGCCGCGGGCCACCGGAGGAGUGGGCGAGGGCAUGGGGAGGAUCGCAGGACUUCGGGUGAUCUUCAGGUGAGGUCAGGAAGGAGGGGCAGGGCUUGGUUCGGGCAGAUUUAGCCGAGGCCGUGCGGCGGCCAUGGCGGCCUACUGCGGCGAGGAGGGGCUCCGGGGCUCGGGAGACUAGCUAGGGAGGGGUUUGGGAGUGAGGGGGAGCUGCUGGUGCGGUCGGGAGGCGAGGGGAGGGGCUUAUAUAGCUGAGGUCGAGGCGGUUGAGCUCGGGUGCCACCACGGGAGGUCCGGCCAAGGCUCUGGCGACAGCAGCGAACACGGGAGGGCACCGAAAGGCGACGAGGGAGGGCGCGGACGAGGCGCAGAGCUAACGGAGACAAGGCGGCGCUCGGGGACAAGGGAGGAAGAAGACACGGAGGUGGAAGACGACGCGGUCACGAGCGCGCUCUGUUUCUCGACGGGGACGGGUCGCUGGGGAAGCAAACGAAGGGGCAAGCGGUCCAGAGGGAAGAGGACGAUGAUGCUGAGCUGUGUGACACUCGGAGACAAGCCAGAACCGGCCGGAGCGGCGCUACUAUUGCCAACAGUGGCGAGACCACCGUUUUGGGCCGACAUUGCCCAUGGUCACCACCGACAACACGCGCUCUGGCUUCCUACUUAGUGCCAAACCUUGUCAGCAGUGGAGUCCCUCCAAGGCUCAUUAAGAAUGAGGAGAUGGCACGAGCAGAAGUGUCGUGAGCAGAGGGAUACAAGCUCGCCAAGUUUGUUGUUGCAAACUUGGCCUCAUCUUGGUGAUCAAGCUAGUGGGAUUAAGGACUAAGCUUGAUGUCUAUGAGGUUUAGAUUAGGAAGGACUCCAGUUCUGUGAAGUUUCAAAGGAAAUGGACCAAAAUUUAAUAGAGUUGCUUCACAACUGCUUAACUUGGUCCAGAAUCAAAAACAGGAAGAAGCACUCACUAGGAGUGAUGAAUUAAGCUAAAAAUGACAUGGCAGUGUGAUUUGAUCAUAUGAGAGUGCUAUAAAAAUUUCAAGCCAUUUGGCCAAGCCAAAAUGGUACUUCCUUCAUAGCUAUCCUCUCUGUCCAGAAAAUUGGGAAAAAUCCUGAGGGAAAAUGGCUAGAUGAAAUGAGCCCAAAUUUGGUGGUGAUAUUUUAUAUAAAUAGGAGAAGGCCUAGAAAAAAUUUCAGACAUAAUGGAGCAAGAUAAAAUAUACUUGCUUCAUUAACUGAAAAUUUGGACAGAACCAAAGAAUUGAUGCUCAGCUCACAUGGAUGCAUUGCAUGAGCUCAAAUCUUGAGGAGGGCUUUAAUUUGAUGAUAUGAAAGGCCAUGGAUAAAUUCAACUCAAUUGGAUUAACUUAGCUAGUACUUCCUUCACAACCAAUUCCCUCAGACAUGAACUUUGAAAAAUUCCUCAAGAAUAUUUACUCAGCAAAUUAAGUUAAAUUUUGGCAUGAAGCAAUUAUUUGGACAUGAAAAGGUGUCCAAAAAGUUUGGGGUCAAUUGGGCAAAGGUAGAUGGCACUUGCUUCACAAUCUGCCAUCCAGGACAGAAUAGGAAAUGAAUUUAUUGAGCAUGAUGGGAAACAUGGUCAAUGAAAUAUUUUGCUAUAUUUGAGGAAGAUAUGACCUAAACAAUUUAUGAUAAUUAUUUUGGGAUUCUAGGAGUGAUGGAAAUAUAGGUUGCUUCACAACCUAGGGCAAAAAGGGUUAUUCCUUUAAUACAAAAAGGAAUAUUCCUAAGGAAAAUAAUAUUGGGAUUUGGUCUAGGAUGAAAAUGGAGAGGCCUAGGGAAGGAUUUGGGUAUGACAAGCCACUCUGGAAGCAAAGAAGAGUUCUUCUUAUUCAGUUUCCAGAAAGAAAACCCAGGCAAAAACCUCAGAAAAUCAAAAUUAAAAAAGGGCCAAAAAUCAGGCUGUUACAAACCUUAGCCCCUUAAAGAAAUCUCGUCCUCGAGAUUUGGUUGCUCAGGGAACAAGUAUGAAUAUACUGACUUAAGGAAACCGUUUCCAACUCGGGUAUCCAUUUUCCUUUAUUGUUGUUCCCACUAAAUUUUUACCUGACUGGCUCUGGGUGGUCUGAUUCACUGUAUCCAUAUUCUGACAGAUCUUACCUGGCUUGUUCAUGCUUAUACUGGCUCCAAUUAUUUUCAUAUCCGCUGACUUAGCUGAGAUUCCAUGACUGAAUAUGUGUCUGUCUCACCAAUCCGAGAGUGAUUUCCGAUGGGUGCGUCAUCCAGCACUGAGAACCUUUCAUGAAGUUGUGGCCACAUUUUCCUGGUGAACACCCAAGCUCUGACUCCUUGCAUUGGGUUUCUUCACUGAAUGCAGGUCCUUUGGGUUCCAAAUUGUGAGUUGAGGCAUAACCGUUUCCUGACAGAUUCUGACCCAUCGCAGAAGUUUCUGAAUCAUCUUAACUGGCUCCACCUUCUGGAGUAUCAGAUAUGUUCCAAAUAUUUGACUGUCGCUUGCCGAGGCCAGCAUGAAGGGGUACGAUCUUUCAUGAUAAUAUCUGCAGACUCGACUGACGGUGGUUCUGGCAGAAGAAUUUGGCUCACGACAGGCUAUCCUUUGAUAAUCCUCAUAAGUGAGGGCACAUGCCUCAAGACUGUUACUCGACAUCCUGAGUAUUAAUUCUGUCAGCAUAUCCAGGGGGAUAGUAGGUUGUGCGAUGCUUUACCACAGUUUCUGGAGUCACAGUGUUGAUUUGACCUUUGGUUCGACUUCGCAGAUUCGGAUAUUUGAUACUGACAACUCUGAGCAGAUACUGUUAACUGAGCGGAUCGUCUAGAUAUGAAUCCCUUACCAAAAUUGAGCAGACCCACCUUAGGUGGAUAUCCAUGGUGAUCCAUACUGACUCAGACUGUCCGGGUAUCUGCACCAUGUGGGUCUUGCAACCAUUUUCAUACCUGCAUCACCGGUCUUGCUACUCCAUUACUGUUUUUCUUGCCUGGAUCCUUGGCUGAAAGAGCUCGGUCAUAUUGCUUCUUCGGGUGACCAUGGAUUCCUUCGGGUGCAAUAUUCUGACAUGUGUACUCUUAUCCUCAUUUCCUAAUAUGGUAGCAUUAUUCAAAUUGCCGAUUCAUCACCUCUCAAGUUCUGGCCGUAGAAAAAUGAUCAUCUGAACCCUUGCAAGAAAUCGGCAAAUAAAUUAGUAGCCACCAGAACGGUCUUUACAACUCAGAUCUGGGACAUUACUGAGAUAACUCAACCACGGCUCAGGACGGCUGAAAAGCAGCUCAGAGCAUGAGACCGGGUCGAUAAGAAGAAAGUGGCAGCUCCCUAAAAUAGCCAAAAGCAGCUAUAGGGCUACUGUCACAAAAAGAAACUCAACAGCUGUAUGAGACGGCCAAAAAGCAGCUCAGAACACAUGACAAUCGUUGAAGAGAGAAAUAAAAAUCGGUAUCCACCCCGGAUAGCUAAAAACGGCUCAGAUCACAGGCGUGGUGCUGUUACUGGAGAAAGAAGACAAGGGCUCAUCAGGAUCAUCUUCCAGGCUCACAGGUACUUGUACUGAGCUCAUUCCUUUGUCACACUGUGGUGUAUAGCUAGCUUCCUUCUUUUAACAAUCCUCCUGUGCCUGUCAAAUCUGCUUUCGAGUGACUUGCAAGACCUUGGUGGUAUGCUGGCCGCUUAUAUAUGAAAAUCUGAUUCCCGAGGCAUACUUGCUUUCUGACUGAACUUUUGCAGAUUUGAUUCUUGAGAUGUACUGCCGUAUACUGUCAAUCUUGCACAUAGCUUAUCUUCAUGAUCAUUUCUGCUAUGAAGUGUGUACACUAAGGCAAACCUGAUUAUCCGUAUCACGAUCAGAUAUCCCCAGAUCUCAAUGCAGUCGGCUAAGAAUUCCAUACUGAUGCAAACUUGAUACUGACAGUCCAUCCAGGAUUUCUUUCGCAUUCAGACAAGAUAUUCCAAUUUCACUGCAGUCUGCUGAUAAUUCCAUUCUGUUUAGCCGAGUUUCCAAAUAUAUGCAUUCCUUGCUGACUCUUCAGGUCCGGUGUCGGUUGACGAGCAACUUUAAUAAGGGGAAAUUUGUAACACCAAAGGCCCAAAGAAAGAAACAAAAGAAACGACGAAAACAAAAGCGCACAAGCAUACUAAUAAUAUAAAGCAAUCAGCACAUAUUACUGCUACUCAUACAAUAAUAUGCAUGCACACCUAAGCACACAAUAGUCGCUGAAGCUCUGGUACUAUGGUCUAAUAUGUUGUGGCGGUGUGCAUGAAAAUGAGUCUGUGUGUGGAAAGAGUUGGCGUAACCAAGGCUACACCAAGCGCUGGCUGAACACCGACUGGAUCUGGAUGGAUACGGAGGCGAGGACGGACUUGGCGAUCAUGCAGCAAGACACGGAGGUCACGACUAACUCAUCAUCAAGCGAACGAACGGAAUCGUACCCGUCCAAAGAAUGAAAUGACAAGGCAAGAUAACAGUGGAAGACUGGGUUUAAUGGCAUUGCCCUUUUCUGAUAACAAAGAUCAGCAAGGAUUGCCAAAGGAACGAGAUGGAGGGCUUGGAUGAUGAUGUGGUUGCAUCAUACCGAAGAGCAGGCAUGCUAAGAAGGAGGGUGCAGGUAGUUGAUCGAGACCGAUACCAUCUACACUCACAAGAUUAACCGUUAGCGACAAGAUAACAAUCUAUAUGCAUGCUAUGCAACAAACAAAUGCAGCAAUCAAGUGCAACAAGCCAACUGGGCUCUAUACUACCGCAUUCUAACAUUCGCGUGGGCUAGGGCAUCCUACAGCCAGACCUGCUCUGAUACCAAGCCUCUGGCACCCCGGCUCAGAGAAACCGGAAUGCCCCGUAUUCCAGCCCAGAGACCGAGGAGAAGUCUUCUGGAAUACGGCACGGCUUAGCAUAGAACAACUCAGCUCUUUAUUACAAUCUAUACUUGGUACAAGGGGUUACAUCGGCACGGCGACACUACACAUGCCAUGGUUGCUCUAUGCAAGCAGCAGAACCACUCGACGCAGUAGAAUGAAUACUGGCAGCGGAACAACAACGGCGGUGGUGAACUCAACUCCGCGGGGACUCUGGCUAGAACGCUUAUCCUAGCUCGCAAACAAGGAAUCCACGGCAAACAAGCAAUCAUAUCCGGCAUGACCUGCAAACUGGCAUGACAUGCCACGUCAGUACAUUGAAUGUACUUGCAAGCUCACAGCAACCAAAGCAAUCAAGACAAACAAUAGCAUGGCAAUUACAGAUUAUUAAUUAAUGAUGAACAUGAUACUAUCAGAACAACAUAACAUGUACAACAUGAUACAACUAGAACAAUACGAGCAUGGCAUAAACAUAUGAACAUGAUGAGACUAGCAUGUAACAAGAUGAAACUAUCAUGCACCAACUUACUCUGCUCGGGUUACAUCGUAACCAUCACAUGCAUCACUUACCAUCACGGACAUCACACGAUCAUCUCAGGAUCCAAUCAAGCUUGGUAUUAACAAUACCGUAGUAAUCAUUUAUGACCACAAGGAGCUUGACCUUUACCCUUGACUCUCGCAUAACAUCACAAAUAUCCAUCAACUCGGUAUCCACGAUACCACAGUGAUCCUCUCAUGAUCACAUAAAUAUCAACCAACUUCUUUCAUCAUCGAACCGGGGUUGUUAUUAAGCAAAUUAUUAUUAUUACUGUUGACCCAUAGUGUGACUAACUAUGGACUGGGCCCAUAUCCGCGGGCACGGCUAUCGAUAGAUUUAACACACACACUCUGCAGAGGUUAGCACACUGUACCCACACCAUGGAACCCGUGGCCUCGCACUCCCAUCCGGGUGGACCAACGGCGUUCCGAUAAAACCGCCCUACUACCAUGACACUCUCCCGGCCACUCCGACCAACUCCCCUUUGGGCUAAGUCCUGGGUGGCCCCGUGCCUACCAAAGGCACCAACGGCCACCGUUGUGGCAAAACGGUCCCAAACGGGGACAAGGAUCCUUACAAAAACAACGGGCACACAAGGCUUAUGCCGUCCUACCCGGCCAAGGUAGCGCCCGCGCAUAACCUUCCCUCGCAGGAGGCACCGGCGAGAGGCAUGACAAUAGACCCAGCUAGGA